rnacentral:rRNA from 1 species
GAUGAACGCUAGCUACAGGCUUAACACAUGCAAGUCGAGGGGAAACGACAUCGAAAGCUUGCUUUUGGUGGGCGUCGACCGGCGCACGGGUGAGUAACGCGUAUCCAACCUGCCCACCACUUGGGGAUAACCUUGCGAAAGUAAGACUAAUACCCAAUGAUAUCCCACGAAGGCAUCCGAAUGGGAUUAAAGAUUUAUCGGUGAUGGAUGGGGAUGCGUCUGAUUAGCUUGUUGGCGGGGUAACGGCCCACCAAGGCAACGAUCAGUAGGGGUUCUGAGAGGAAGGUCCCCCACAUUGGAACUGAGACACGGUCCAAACUCCUACGGGAGGCAGCAGUGAGGAAUAUUGGUCAAUGGGCGAGAGCCUGAACCAGCCAAGUAGCGUGCAGGACGACGGCCCUAUGGGUUGUAAACUGCUUUUAUAAGGGAAUAAAGUUAGUCUCGUGAGACUUUUUGCAUGUACCUUAUGAAUAAGGACCGGCUAAUUCCGUG